UACGUAGGGUGCGAGCGUUAAUCGGAAUCAUUGGGCGUAAAGCGCGUGUAGGCGGCCCGGUAAGUCCGCUGUGAAAGUCCAGGGCUCAACCCUGGGAUGCCGGUGGAUACUGUCGGGCUCGAGUCCGGAAGAGGCGAGUGGAAUUCCUGGUGUAGCGGUGAAAUGCGCAGAUAUCAGGAAGAACACCGAUGGCGAAGGCAGUUCUCUGGGACGGUACUGACGCUGAGACGCGAAAGCGUGGGGAGCGAACAGG
rnacentral:rRNA from 1 species